ensembl:lncRNA
CAGAGAGAGACAGAGAGAGACAGAGAGAGAGAGACAGAGAAAGACAGAGAGAGACAGAGAGAGAAAGAUGCGGGAUAACAGAGAGUCUUGAGGUAGUGUAGAGAAUAGAUCAGUACCUGGGCCAGGAUAGAACAUAGGUAGGUCGGAGAAGGUUCGUAUGGGAGAUAGGGAAGAGAAGUUUUGAGAGAGGUAGGAGAAUGUUUGUAUGGGAGAUCGGUAGGAGAAGGUUUGUACGGGAGAUUGGUCGGAGAAGGUUUGUAUGGCAGAUUAGUAGGAGAAGGUUUGUAUGGGAGAUAGGGAAGUGAAGGUUUGAGAUAGGUAGGAGAAGGUUUGUACGGGAGACAGGUCGGAGGAGGUUGGUACGGGAGACAGGUAGGAGGAGGUUUGUAUGGGAGACAGGUAGGAGAAGGUUUGUAUGGGAGACAGGUAGGAUAAGGUUGGUAUGGGAGAUAGAUAGGAGAAGGUUUGUACGGGAGACAGGUCGGAGAAGGUUUGUACGGGAGAUAGGUAAGAGAAGGUUUGUACGGGAGACAGGUAGGAGGAGGUUAGCCCAAGUGUGUUUGUUCAAUUCUGAACGAGGACAGAAGGCACUGGUAUGGGAGAUCGGUAGGAGAAGGUUUUUAUGGAGAUAGGUAAGAGUAGGUUUGAGAUAGGUAAGAGAAGGUUUGUAUGGGAGAUCGGUAGGAGAAGGUUUGUAUGGAGAUAGGUAAGAGAAGGUUUGUAUGAGAGACAGGUAGAAGGAGGUUCGUACGAGAGACAGGUAGGAGGAGGUUUGUACGAGAGACAGGUAGGAGGAGGUUCGUACGAGAGACAGGUAGGAGGAGGUUCGUACGAGAGACAGGUAGGAGGAGAUUUGUACGGGAGACAGGUAGGGAGAGGUUUGUACGGGAGACAGGUAGGGGGAGGUUUGUACGGGAGACAGGUAGGAGGAGGUUUGUACGGGAGACAGGUAGGAGGAGGUUUGUACGGGAGACAGGUAGGAGGAGGUUAGCCCAAGUGUGUUUGUUCAAUUCUGAACGAGGACAGAAGGCACUAUAUGAAC